rnacentral:rRNA from 1 species
CGCGGCCUAUCAGCUUGUUGGUGAGGUAAUGGCUCACCAAGGCGACGACGGGUAGCCGGCCUGAGAGGGCGACCGGCCACACUGGGACUGAGACACGGCCCAGACUCCUACGGGAGGCAGCAGUGGGGAAUACUGCACAAUGGGCGAAAGCCUGAUGCAGCGACGCCGCGUGAGGGAUGACGGCCUUCGGGUUGUAAACCUCUUUCAGCAGGGAAGAAGCGAAAGUGACGGUACCUGCAGAAGAAGCGCCGGCUAACUACGUGCCAGCAGCCGCGGUAAUACGUAGGGCGCAAGCGUUGUCCGGAAUUAUUGGGCGUAAAG